GCUCCCGAGUAGAGCAGAGGUCUAAGGCACUGUAUCUCAGGAAGAUCUUUCUUUAUCUCUUUGGGCUCCCGAGUAGAGCAGAGGUCUAAGGCACUGUAUCUCAGGAAGAUCUUUCUUUGUCUCUUUGGGCUCCCGAGUAGAGCAGAGGUCUAAGGCACUGUAUCUCAGGAAGAUCUUUCUUUGUCUCUUUGGGCUCCCGAGUAGAGCAGAGGUCUAAGGCACUGUAUCUCAGGAAGAUCUUUCUUUGUCUCUUUGGGCUCCCGAGUAGAGCAGAGGUCUAAGGCACUGUAUCUCAGGAAGAUCUUUCUUUGUCUCUUUGGGCUCCCGAGUAGAGCAGAGGUCUAAGGCACUGUAUCUCAGGAAGAUCUUUCUUUGUCUCUUUGGGCUCCCGAGUAGAGCAGAGGUCUAAGGCACUGUAUCUCAGGAAGAUCUUUCUUUGUCUCUUUGGGCUCCCGAGUAGAGCAGAGGUCUAAG